CUUCAUUCCAGAGAGUCCUGCUUCCUUCUCUGGAGGAAGCAACCCUGCACAGAGGGAAAGAAGAAUCUCAACAUACAGUCCUCAGCAGCUUUAGCAUGGGCAACAAAUUAAGUCUCUGUAAAAGGCCCAAAGGACAGGGUUUGGUGAGAUUCUGGAGAGCUGGAAACAUGGAGGUUGACAGGAAUGUAAAGAAGAACUCAUUUACAUGCCAGGAGGGUGGAACACCCCAAUUCCAUGAGGAUAACUGCUCCUGUACUCCAGACCUCACCCCAUGUGUCUCUUCAUCUGGCUGGUUAUUUGUCCUUUAAGAUCUCCUUACUCAACCAGUAAAUUGCUGGAUGUUCCAUGCCCUCAAACAUUGGACUCCAAGCUCUUCAGCUUUGGGACUUCAACU
rnacentral:lncRNA from 1 species